UAGCCAUUAAAAAGUCGAGAGUUUUCUCAUUUUUGUGGCGGUACUCGUAGUGAAGAUGAAGACUAUAGUAGCACUGUUUUACAUGGUUCUGUUAGGGCUAGCGGUCGCCCAGAACCGUGGACCGUGCGGCUGCGUAAAGACCUACGAUUUUUGCGCCAACGACUACCAGACAUACCACAGCAUCUGCGAGUACAAGUGCCUACAUCCCUCCGUCCAGUUCCAGGACUGGUUUGUGCUUUACCAAGGAGAGUGCCAGUCUUAGUCUCACGUUUUGUCGAAUAGCUGGAGUCACCAUGUAUGUCGUGUGGGAUUAAAAUAUAAAACAUU